GACAGGUUUGCAAUUCUCUCACGAUUCUGUGAGAAAUGUCCUUUGCUUGGCAUGAAGAAACAGUGGGAGCCUAUAUUCAGUGGGCCUGUUGUGAAUCUCAUCAACUAUGGCUGAAAAACACAUUGUGCUUCAUUAGGUUCCCAAGACAAGGCUAACAGAAGGCUAACACAUAGUUGAGUUUUCCUGGUUUUGACCACUGCCUGACUCUGGACUACUUUCCCGCCUGCCUGAUCAUCCUGCCUGCCCUGACCUUCAAUCUGCCUGCCCUUCGGUACCUAUUGGACUCUGAACUGGUUUUGAUCUUUUGCCUGUACACGACUAUUCUCUUGCCU
rnacentral:lncRNA from 1 species